GCUGUGACCUUGGCCUCUACCGGUCGUACUUGGCCUUGACCAACCUCCUUACCGAGGCAAAUGUGUUCGGUCCAACUCAACGAAUACAACACCAGAUCAUCAAGAUACGCGUUGCAAUUUGGUACAUCAUGUAAAACGAUAUUAACGAGGCGCUGGAAAGUUGCUGGGGCAUUUCUAAGCCCAAAAGCCAUUGCCGUAUACUGGAGGAAGUUGUCUGGGGUUACAAAGGCUGAAAUCUCCGAAGCUUGUGAGGUAACAGUAGAUGGCGUCAGAUCCACGGCUAGCGCAACAGAAGAGACAACGGGCCCUGCAGUCUGUUCCACAGCACCGGCCGUUGGCGUUGACGACUCUCUGGUAUGAUAAGCUUUUAACAUGUUUAGAUGACAAACACGGGUUUUUCGUUUUCGAUCAGGUGUGUACAACAUAUAAUCAGUUUCACUCAUUCUCUUUUUCACAACAUA